CUUGGACUGCAUUGGAUUGGAUGUUGGAUUAAUUUGAUUUGGUUCUCCCCUCUUUGAUGGUAAAUGGCUGCUCUUAGUUGAUCGUGAUCUUAAUUGGGUUGAUUUGUUGUCAGGGCUAAUUUGUAACAAGCUUAAAGCUUAGUAAGCUUUAGCUUGAGGGGUGAUGUUAGAAGUUUAUUUUAUUUGGUAGUUUAUUUUA
rnacentral:lncRNA from 1 species